rnacentral:rRNA from 2 species
UACGAAGGGUGCAAGCGUUACUCGGAAUUACUGGGCGUAAAGCGUGCGUAGGUGGUUGUUUAAGUCUGUCGUGAAAGCCCUGGGCUCAACCUGGGAAUGGCGAUGGAAACUGGGCGACUAGAGUGUGGCAGAGGGUAGUGGAAUUCCUGGUGUAGCAGUGAAAUGCGUAGAGAUCAGGAGGAACAUCCGUGGCGAAGGCGACUGCCUGGGCCAACACUGACACUGAGGCACGAAAGCGUGGGGAGCAAACAGG